CAUGCGCGGCGCAGGGAGCAUGCGCAGGGCCGGCUGCAGCCAUUCUGCCAUCCGGCGCUUGUGCAGGUGCCUUCCGCGGAGUCAGUCUAGGAAACGUUUCCAGGCGCCUAGUCUUUGCAAUCAAAAGAAUCAGAAAUGUUGCUGAGGCCCUAAGAGGCAGUUCUGCACAGCUGCUCAAAACAGAAUCGGAGGAUGGAUGAUGGGGGAUAGUGUGUGCGGCUCUUUGCUGGCUAGGUCUCCUACCAGACUUUUAAAAAGUAGCACGUGAAGGUGUAUGGAGGUCAGCACACAGCGCUGCUUAGGACUCUUUCUUCACAGGAAGUGGGAGCAUGCCUGCCUCAACCUCAGCCCUCAGCCAAUGCCUUCUGACUCCGAGCCGAGAGCCCUUCCUGACCUCGUGGCUGAGCGUCUCUGGCCUUCUCUGCAGCUCCUCAACGGUGUGGCAGCGCAGCGCAGGCCCUCCUGGCUGACCUUCAGAAAUCUGUUGAAAUCUUAAAAUAAGAAAACAGGGAAGCUUGCUGCAUCGAUUGACUCUUCCUUUCACGAAAGAUUUCUCUGUAGCGUGCAAUGCUAUGCACUGGAAAAAGAAAGAAAGAAAGAAAUCUGUUGAAAUCACUCGUUCGUUGCUGUUGACCCUCUCCACACCGUUGUCUUUGAGAACCUGGAUUGUACUUAUAGGCUUUAUUUCAUGGAGGCUUAUGGCAAACAGGUGGCAAGGGCAUAUGUCUACU
rnacentral:lncRNA from 1 species